UACAGAGGGUGCGAGCGUUAAUCGGAAUUACUGGGCGUAAAGCGUGCGUAGACGGUUAUUUAAGUCGGGUGUGAAAGCCCCGGGCUCAACCUGGGAAUUGCAUUCGAGACUGAAUAGCUAGGGUACGGUAGAGGGAAGUGGAAUUUCCGGUGUAGCGGUGAAAUGCGUAGAUAUCGGAAGGAACAUCAGUGGCGAAAGCGACUUCCUGGACCAAUACUGACGCUCAUGUGCGAAAGCGGUGGG
rnacentral:rRNA from 1 species